rnacentral:rRNA from 1 species
AACGAACGCUGGCGGCAUGCCUAACACAUGCAAGUCGAACGAGACCUUCGGGUCUAGUGGCGCACGGGUGCGUAACGCGUGGGAACCUGCCCUUAGGUUCGGAAUAACUCCCCGAAAGGGGUGCUAAUACCGGAUAAUGUCUUCGGACCAAAGAUUUAUCGCCUUUGGAUGGGCCCGCGUUGGAUUAGCUAGUUGGUAGGGUAAAAGCCUACCAAGGCGACGAUCCAUAGCUGGUCUGAGAGGAUGAUCAGCCACACUGGGAGUGAGACACGGCCCAGACUCCUACGGGAGGCAGCAGAGGGGAAUAGUGGACAAUGGGCGAAAGCCUGAUCCAGCAAGGCCGCGUGAGUGAUGAAGGCCUUAGGGUUGUAAAGCUCUUUUACCCGGGAUGAUAAUGACGGUACCGGGAGAAUAAGCUCCGGCUAACUCCGUG